rnacentral:rRNA from 1 species
CUACGUGCCAGCAGCCGCGGUAAUACGUAUGUCACGAGCGUUAUCCGGAUUUAUUGGGCGUAAAGCGCGUCUAGGUGGUUAUGUAAGUCUGAUGUGAAAAUGCAGGGCUCAACUCUGUAUUGCGUUGGAAACUGUAUAACUAGAGUACUGGAGAGGUAAGCGGAACUACAAGUGUAGAGGUGAAAUUCGUAGAUAUUUGUAGGAAUGCCGAUGGGGAAGCCAGCUUACUGGACAGAUACUGACGCUGAAGCGCGAAAGCGUGGGUAGCAAACAGGAUUAGAUACCCUGGUAGUCCACGCUGUAAACGAUGAUUACUAGGUGUUGGGGGUCGAACCUCAGCGCCCAAGCAAACGCGAUAAGUAAUCCGCCUGGGGAGUACGUACGCAAGUAUGAAACUCAAAGGAAUUGACAGGGACCCGCACAAGCGGUGGAGCAUGUGGUUUAAUUCGACGCAACGCGAGGAACCUUACCAGCGUUUGACAUC